rnacentral:tRNA from 1 species
GUGCCGGUGUUCUGGGAACGCCGCCGGCUGCAACCCGGCGAAGGUGGGUUCGACUCCCACUCGGCACU